rnacentral:rRNA from 1 species
CACGCAGUAAACGAUGGAUACUAGGUAUGGGGAGUAUCGACCCUCUCCGUGCCGAAGCUAACGCUUUAAGUAUCCCGCCUGGGGACUACGGUCGCAAGACUAAAACUCAAAGGAAUUGACGGGGGCCCGCACAAGCAGCGGAGCGUGUGGUUUAAUUCGAUGCAACACGAAGAACCUUACCAGGGCUUGACAUGUUGGAAGUAGUGAAACGAAAGUGGAACGAACUGUCAAAUCAGUAACCUUCACAGGUGC